rnacentral:SRP_RNA from 1 species
CCGUACUAGUUGGGGAGUUAGCGGUGCCCUGUAACCUGCAAUCCGCUCUAGCAGGAAUGAAUUCCUUACCUAGGCUAGUGCUUGUAUGGUCUGGCCUACAUAAGUGGCGUUGACGAUUGGGCCCUGUGCAACAGAGACUUGUGAACCUCGUCAGGUCCGGAAGGAAGCAGCGAUAAGCAAGCCCCUCUGUGUGACGCAGGAUAACCUGAUCCGAGUUAACUGUGUAGGUAACGCUUAUAAGUACUAGUCAAAGUAAGGUGUACGG